UAAGGAAUAUUGGACAAUGGAGGCAACUCUGAUCCAGCCAUGCCGCGUGAAGGAAUAAGGCCCUAUGGGUUGUAAACUUCUUUUAGACGGGACAAAACCCCUUUACGUGAAAAGGGUUGAUGGUACUGUCAGAAUAAGCAUCGGCUAACUUCGUGCCAGCAGCCGCGGUAAUACGAAGGAUGCAAGCGUUAUCCGGAAUUAUUGGGUUUAAAGGGUGCGUAGGCGGACUAAUAAGUCAGUGGUGAAAGCCUGCAGCUUAACUGCAGAAUUGCCAUGGAUACUGUUAGUCUUGAGUACAGUUUAGGUAGGCGGAAUGUGUCAUGUAGCGGUGAAAUGCUUAGAUAUGACACAGAACACCGAUUGCGAAGGCAGCUUGCUAAGCUGUAACUGACGCUGAGGCACGAAAGCGUGGGGAGCAA
rnacentral:rRNA from 1 species